rnacentral:rRNA from 1 species
UACGGGGGGGGCAAGCGUUGUUCGGAAUUACUGGGCGUAAAGGGCUCGUAGGUGGCCAACUAAGUCGGACGUGAAAUCCCUCAGCUUAACUGGGGAACUGCGUCCGAUACUGGAUGGCUUGAGUUUGGGAGAGGGAUGCGGAAUUCCAGGUGUAGCGGUGAAAUGCGUAGAUAUCUGGAGGAAUACCGGUGGCGAAGGCGGCAUCCUGGACCAACACUGACACUGAAUCGCGAAAGCUAGGGGAGCAAACGGG